rnacentral:rRNA from 1 species
GAUGAACGCUGGCGGCGUGCCUAAUACAUGCGAGUCGAGCGAACAGACGAGGAGCUUGCUCCUCUGACGUUAGCGGCGGACGGGUGAGUAACACGUGGAUAACCUACCUAUAAGACUGGGAUAACUUCGGGAAACCGGAGCUAAUACCGGAUAAUAUAUUGAACCGCAUGGUUCAAUAGUGAAAGACGGUUUUGCUGUCACUUAUAGAUGGAUCCGCGCCGCAUUAGCUAGUUGGUAAGGUAACGGCUUACCAAGGCGACGAUGCGUAGCCGACCUGAGAGGGUGAUCGGCCCCACUGGACCUGAGACCCGGUCCAGACUCCUACGGGAGGCAGCAGUAGGGAAUCUUCCGCAAUGGGCGAAAGCCUGACGGAGCAACGCCGCGUGAGUGAUGAAGGUCUUCGGAUCGUAAACCGCUGUUAUUGGGGAAGAACAAAUGUGUAUGUAACUAUGCCCGUCUGGCCGGUACCUAAUCAGAAAGCCCCGGCUAACUACGU